UUGUCGCUCCAAGCCAAGGCCCGGCAGCGAACAACGCGGCCAUGGACCGAUACCGCUCGAGGAGGCACCGCU
rnacentral:SRP_RNA from 1 species